CUUCUCAAUAAAUCACAAGUCACCAAUCUCAACAUAUACUCCUUCAAAGAGCUCAAGUUCAGCCAAGAACAUCGUCUAGCCCAUUCUCCUUUCCAACAAGCAAGUAGGAUCAAAUAUUCACUGAAAUUUCUCACAAGGCUUUGUGACCAGGGGGACUAGCGCUGCUUUCCCAAGACAGGUUUUUAUGUGUAUGAUCUUCAGGCUUUGCCUAUCCAGGUUGAGCUGAUGUGAUGAUGGUGCUGCAAUGAGCGGAGUCUCCAGGGUUGUUAAUAAAUAGUUAACCUGUCUAGAAUAUGUCUUCAUACAUAUGUCUAGCUACUUUCCGCUGCAAGAUGUUGUUGAUGUUAUAGUAUGUUAUGUCAUACUUUGAGUCUUAAGAGAAUGGUUUCAUAUGAUGUAUAACUUGAUUAAUGAUAUUAAUUAAGUUUUAUGCUGUCUUU